GACGAACGCUGGCGGCGUGCUUAACACGUGCAAGUCGAACGGAAAGGCCCUGCUUUUGUGGGGUGCUCGAGUGGCGAACGGGUGAGUAACACGUGAGUAACCUGCCCUUGACUUUGGGAUAACUUCAGGAAACUGGGGCUAAUACCGGAUAGGAGCUCCUGCUGCAUGGUGGGGGUUGGAAAGUUUCGGCGGUUGGGGAUGGACUCGCGGCUUAUCAGCUUGUUGGUGAGGUAGUGGCUUACCAAGGCUUUGACGGGUAGCCGGCCUGAGAGGGCGACCGGCCACAUUGGGACUGAGAUACGGCCCAGACUCCUACGGGAGGCAGCAGUGGGGAAUAUUGCACAAUGGGCGGAAGCCUGAUGCAGCAACGCCGCGUGCGGGAUGACGGCCUUCGGGUUGUAAACCGCUUUCGCCUGUGACGAAGCGUGAGUGACGGUAAUGGGUAAAGAAGCUCCGGCUAACUACGUG
rnacentral:rRNA from 1 species